GGGGAUCUGCCCGAUAGAGGGGGAUAACCACUGGAAACGGUGGCUAAUACCGCAUAACGUCGCAAGACCAAAGAGGGGGACCUUCGGGCCUCUCACUAUCGGAUGAACCCAGAUGGGAUUAGCUAGUAGGCGGGGUAACGGCCCACCUAGGCGACGAUCCCUAGCUGGUCUGAGAGGAUGACCAGCCACACUGGAACUGAGACACGGUCCAGACUCCUACGGGAGGCAGCAGUGGGGAAUAUUGCACAAUGGGCGCAAGCCUGAUGCAGCCAUGCCGCGUGUAUGAAGAAGGCCUUCGGGUUGUAAAGUACUUUCAGCGGGGAGGAAGGCGAUGUGGUUAAUAACCGCGUCGAUUGACGUUACCCGCAGAAGAAGCACCGGCUAACUCCGUGCCAGCAGCCGCGGUAAUACGGAGGGUGCAAGCGUUAAUCGGAAUUACUGGGCGUAAAGCGCACGCAGGCGGUCUGUUAAGUCAGAUGUGAAAUCCCCGGGCUUAACCUGGGAACUGCAUUUGAAACUGGCAGGCUUGAGUCUCGUAGAGGGGGGGUAGAAUUCCAGGU
rnacentral:rRNA from 1 species